UACGGAGGGGGCUAGCGUUGCUCGGAAUUACUGGGCGUAAAGCGCACGUAGGCGGCUUUCUAAGUCGGGGGUGAAAUCCUGGAGCUCAACUCCAGAACUGCCUUUGAUACUGAAGAUCUUGAGUUCGGGAGAGGUGAGUGGAACUGCGAGUGUAGAGGUGAAAUUCGUAGAUAUUCGCAAGAACACCAGUGGCGAAGGCGGCUUGCCAGAACGCGCUCGACGGUGAGGGAUGAAAGCUGGGGGAGCAAACGAGG
rnacentral:rRNA from 1 species